rnacentral:rRNA from 1 species
UUAAGCGACUAAGCGUACACGGUGGAUGCCCUGGCAGUCAGAGGCGAUGAAGGACGUGCUAAUCUGCGAAAAGCGUCGGUAAGGUGAUAUGAACCGUUACAGCCGGCGAUGUCCGAAUGGGGAAACCCAGUGCAAUUCGUUGCACUAUCGUUAACUGAAUACAUAGGUUAACGAGGCGAACCGGGGGAACUGAAACAUCUAAGUACCCCGAGGAAAAGAAAUCAACCGAGAUUCCCCCAGUAGCGGCGAGCGAACGGGGAGCAGCCCAGAGUCUGAAUCAGCUUGUGUGUUAGUGGAACGGUCUGGAAAGUCCGACGGUACAGGGUGAUAGUCCCGUACACCAAAAUGCACAGGUUGUGAACUCGAAGAGUAGGGCGGGACACGUGGUAUCCUGUCUGAAUAUGGGGGGACCAUCCUCCAAGGCUAAAUACUCCUGACUGACCGAUAGUGAACCAGUACCGUGAGGGAAAGGCGAAAAGAACCCCGGCGAGGGGAGUGAAAAAGAACCUGAAACCGUGUACGUACAAGCAGUGGGAGCACCUUUAUGGUGUGACUGCGUACCUUUUGUAUAAUGGGUCAGCGACUUAUAUUCUGUAGCAAGGUUAACCGUAUAGGGGAGCCGCAGGGAAACCGAGUCUUAACUGGGCGUUAAGUUGCAGGGUAUAGACCCGAAACCCGGUGAUCUAGCCAUGGGCAGGUUGAAGGUUGGGUAACACUAACUGGAGGACCGAACCGACUAAUGUUGAAAAAUUAGCGGAUGACUUGUGGCUGGGGGUGAAAGGCCAAUCAAACCGGGAGAUAGCUGGUUCUCCCCGAAAGCUAUUUAGGUAGCGCCUCGUGAAUUCAUCUUCGGGGGUAGAGCACUGUUUCGGCUAGGGGGUCAUCCCGACUUACCAACCCGAUGCAAACUACGAAUACCGAAGAAUGUUAUCACGGGAGACACACGGCGGGUGCUAACGUCCGUCGUGAAGAGGGAAACAACCCAGACCGCCAGCUAAGGUCCCAAAGUCAUGGUUAAGUGGGAAACGAUGUGGGAAGGCACAGACAGCCAGGAUGUUGGCUUAGAAGCAGCCAUCAUUUAAAGAAAGCGUAAUAGCUCACUGGUCGAGUCGGCCUGCGCGGAAGAUGUAACGGGGCUAAACCAUGCACCGAAGCUGCGGCAGCGACACUAUGUGUUGUUGGGUAGGGGAGCGUUCUGUAAGCCUGCGAAGGUGGCCUGUGAGGGUUGCUGGAGGUAUCAGAAGUGCGAAUGCUGACAUAAGUAACGAUAAAGCGGGUGAAAAGCCCGCUCGCCGGAAGACCAAGGGUUCCUGUCCAACGUUAAUCGGGGCAGGGUGAGUCGACCCCUAAGGCGAGGCCGAAAGGCGUAGUCGAUGGGAAACAGGUUAAUAUUCCUGUACUUGGUGUUACUGCGAAGGGGGGACGGAGAAGGCUAUGUUAGCCGGGCGACGGUUGUCCCGGUUUAAGCAUGUAGGCGGAGGUUCCAGGUAAAUCCGGUACCUUUUAACGCUGAGGUGUGAUGACGAGGCACUACGGUGCUGAAGUAACAAAUGCCCUGCUUCCAGGAAAAGCCUCUAAGCAUCAGGUAACAUUAAAUCGUACCCCAAACCGACACAGGUGGUCAGGUAGAGAAUACCAAGGCGCUUGAGAGAACUCGGGUGAAGGAACUAGGCAAAAUGGUGCCGUAACUUCGGGAGAAGGCACGCUGGUGUGUAGGUGAAGUCCCUGCGGAUGGAGCUGAGACCAGUCGAAGAUACCAGCUGGCUGCAACUGUUUAUUAAAAACACAGCACUGUGCAAACACGAAAGUGGACGUAUACGGUGUGACGCCUGCCCGGUGCCGGAAGGUUAAUUGAUGGGGUUAUCCGUAAGGAGAAGCUCUUGAUCGAAGCCCCGGUAAACGGCGGCCGUAACUAUAACGGUCCUAAGGUAGCGAAAUUCCUUGUCGGGUAAGUUCCGACCUGCACGAAUGGCGUAAUGAUGGCCAGGCUGUCUCCACCCGAGACUCAGUGAAAUUGAACUCGCUGUGAAGAUGCAGUGUACCCGCGGCAAGACGGAAAGACCCCGUGAACCUUUACUAUAGCUUGACACUGAACAUUGAGCCUUGAUGUGUAGGAUAGGUGGGAGGCUUUGAAGCGUGGACGCCAGUCUGCGUGGAGCCAACCUUGAAAUACCACCCUUUAAUGUUUGAUGUUCUAACGUUGGCCCGUAAUCCGGGUUGCGGACAGUGUCUGGUGGGUAGUUUGACUGGGGCGGUCUCCUCCCAAAGAGUAACGGAGGAGCACGAAGGUUAGCUAAUCCUGGUCGGACAUCAGGAGGUUAGUGCAAUGGCAUAAGCUAGCUUGACUGCGAGCGUGACGGCGCGAGCAGGUGCGAAAGCAGGUCAUAGUGAUCCGGUGGUUCUGAAUGGAAGGGCCAUCGCUCAACGGAUAAAAGGUACUCCGGGGAUAACAGGCUGAUACCGCCCAAGAGUUCAUAUCGACGGCGGUGUUUGGCACCUCGAUGUCGGCUCAUCACAUCCUGGGGCUGAAGUAGGUCCCAAGGGUAUGGCUGUUCGCCAUUUAAAGUGGUACGCGAGCUGGGUUUAGAACGUCGUGAGACAGUUCGGUCCCUAUCUGCCGUGGGCGCUGGAGAAUUGAGGGGGGCUGCUCCUAGUACGAGAGGACCGGAGUGGACGCAUCACUGGUGUUCGGGUUGUCAUGCCAAUGGCACUGCCCGGUAGCUAAAUGCGGAAGAGAUAAGUGCUGAAAGCAUCUAAGCACGAAACUUGCCCCGAGAUGAGUUCUCCCUGAGACUUUAAGUCUCCUGAAGGAACGUUGAAGACGACGACGUUGAUAGGCCGGGUGUGUAAGCGCAGCGAUGCGUUGAGCUAACCGGUACUAAUGAACCGUGAGGCUUAACCUU